ensembl:processed_transcript Dleu2 deleted in lymphocytic leukemia, 2
AAAAUCGAGCUGGGGGGUUCCCUGGUCCCCGAUGUUGGGGCGGAGAGCGCGGCGCCGAGGGAGGGGGCGGCGCAGACCGGCCUAGGGGACACCUGGUCGAGCGCAGCCGCCGCUCCGCUCGAGCCCUGCGCUCCAGUGCCCCCACUGGCUGGAGAGCUCGCCCAGACCGGGGGUCUUCCUCCGUCGCUGACAGAUUUUAACCAUUAGAAGAAUACCAGUUCUGGAAAACAACCAAAGUUUCUUUGAUUGAAUGCCCAUGUAAUGCAUUGGAAUAUGAUAGGCGAUUAAGGUUUAACAAUGUUAAAAUGAAGAUAUUACUAAAAUGGCCCUCUAAAUAGCCCAACAAUUAUUAUUUUCUUUGUCCUAUGGAUUUGGCUUUGAAAGAUGUGCUGCUCUUAAUAAGGUCUUCACACUGUGUUAGAAAUAAGGAAGGUGAUAAAGAAUGCCUGUAAGCAUUAAUUCUCUCUCUCGGGCAGAAACCUACGUGUUCCUCUUCCAGAGAGCUGGUGAAGCCAAAGGCAUUCUCAUAAUGAUGCGCUACACCGACUGACAUUUACCAACUGUGUCAAAGCUACAGGAGCCAGGUAGACACUGCUGGAACUUUAACGGGAAUCAAACAAGUCUAUAAGAAGCACUGAGCUGUGCCACUACCCAAUCAGUGUUCUUCCAGAGCACACAAACGAAAGUGGGAGGAGCCUUCCAAUGAGAACUGUUGUGUGAUUAAUCAAUGAGGCUGACUAAAGCACACACUUAUAAUCCCAAUACUCAGAAAGACAGAGGAAGAAGGA